rnacentral:rRNA from 1 species
GACGAACGCUGGCGGCGUGCUUAACACAUGCAAGUCGAACGGAAAGGCCUGUCCUUCCUUGUGUUGGACGGGUACUCGAGUGGCGAACGGGUGAGUAACACGUGAGUGAUCUGCCCCCAACUUGGGUAUAAGCCUGGGAAACUGGGUCUAAUUCCCGAUAGGACUGCAGGGUGGUGCCUGUGGUGGAAAACGAUUUUCUAGUGGUUGGGGAUAAGCUCGCGGCCUAUCAGCUUGUUGGUGGGGUAAUGGCCUACCAAGGCGGCGACGGGUAGCCGGCCUGAGAGGGUGGACGGCCACAUUGGGACUGAGAUACGGCCCAGACUCCUACGGGAGGCAGCAGUGGGGAAUAUUGCACAAUGGGCGGAAGCCUGAUGCAGCGACGCCGCGUGGGGGAUGACGGCCUUCGGGUUGUAAACUCCUUUCGACCGCGAGGAAGCCGCCUGGUUGGAAGGGUGGUGACGGUAGUGGUAGAAGAAGCACCGGCUAACUACGUG